UACGUAGACAUCACUGCACCAGAUUAUAAACUUGCCAUACUUCGCCGCUUCAAAAUUUAUACAUUUCUCCACUACAAUAAUUCAAAUUACGCCAAACUUCGUAGAUCUGCCUACAGUCGCAUAGAGACUCCGAUCGAUCACAUACAUUGCUUCUUUAGUUUAUCCGAAGCUUAAAGAAGCUCUCAUCAAUGCCGUUGCUAUCAGCUGACGGAGAAUUCAAUCUUACGCAAUCUUCUCAUUCUCAGCCUACUUUCACAAUGGGGGAGUACACAUUUGCGGAUGCGGGGAAUUUGGACCAUUGUGCUAAGUACUUGAACCAAUCGCUUGUUACGUACGGAUUUCCAGCUUCUCUGGAUCUUUUUGCAAAUGAUCCUGUUUCCAUCGCACGGACUUGCAAUUGCAUAUACUUCUUGCUUCAGCAGAGACAGCGUGAUGUUGAAUUUAGAGAUUCUGCUAAUGAACAAAGACAACGACUGUUAUCCGAUAUAUCAAGAUUGGAGGCCAAAGUUGAGAGACUUGAAGGACAGCUGCAAGCCAAAGACAGGGAGAUAGCAACAAUUACUAGAACGGAAGCUAAGAACACAUCAGCUCUCAAGGCCCAAAUUGAAAAGCUACAACAAGAACGGGAUGAAUUUCAAAAGAUGGUUCUUGGUAAUCAGCAAGUAAGAACUCAACAAAUGCAUGAGAUGAAGAAGAAGGAAAAGGAGUACAUAAAGUUACAAGAGAGGUUAAACCAAGUAUUGAUGGAGAAGAAGAAGGAAUCUAGGUCAGGCAUGGAAAUAAUGAAUUUGCUUCAGAAAGAAGGGAGGCAACGUGGAACAUGGAAUGGAAAGAAGGCUGACAAUGAUUUUUAUAAAAAGAUUGUGGAUGCUUAUGAAGCGAAAAAUCAAGGACUGGUGGCUGAGAAUGCUGAUUUGAGAGCCUUGCUGAGAUCAAUGCAGGAGGAUAUGCGUGAGUUCUUAAAUGCUCCCAAUGGACCCUCAAAGCAAUCGCUAGCUGCCAAUGAAAAAGGUGAAAGCGAUCCUUCACGAUCUCCAUUGGUUGGGAGGACGGACGUGUUUGACCUACCUUUUCACAUGGCCAGAGAUCAAAUAGAAGAAAGUCUUCGUAACAAGAUGUCUUCAAUAAAGGAGCGCAUGGUUCAAUUGCAAGAUGCUCAGAAAGGAGCAGAAGUUUCCUCAGAAGCAACUGAAAGGGAACUUGAGCUUGAAGCUCAACUUGUUGAAGCAAGGAGCAUCAUACAGGAACAGGCUUCCAUAAUGUCCAAACAUCUUGCAAAGUCUGAGAGGCCGAGGCAAUCUGUCAUCUCAUCCCCUGCUGAGGCAGUGUGUAACUAGGAAAGCUGGGGCACAACUAGUUUAGUUCUUGACACGAUUAAUCAAGUCAACAGUGUCAGCAUGUCUAACUAACCAAUCUUGCUCUUGAUUGUGUUAACAAGCCCACUCGAGGCUGAGAUGUUCUGGUAAAAUUCACGACGCAAUUGAGUGGGAUAAAUGAAUAGUGUGAGAGACUAUUUGGAGUUUAGUUACUCAUUUUUUAUAAUAUAUAUAUAUAUAUAUAUUUUAAAGAAACAGACAAAUGUCAUGUAUGAUAUACUUCCUGUGGUCCAAAAUAUAA